rnacentral:rRNA from 1 species
GAUGAACGCUAGCGGGAGGCCUAACACAUGCAAGCCGAGCGGUAGAGUCUCUUCGGAGACUUGAGAGCGGCGCACGGGUGCGGAACACGUGUGCAACCUGCCUUUAUCUGGGGGAUAGCCUUUCGAAAGGAAGAUUAAUACCCCAUAAUAUACUGGAUGGCAUCAUCUGGUAUUGAAAACUCCGGUGGAUAGAGAUGGGCACGCGCAAGAUUAGAUAGUUGGUGAGGUAACGGCUCACCAAGUCUACGAUCUUUAGGGGGCCUGAGAGGGUGAUCCCCCACACUGGUACUGAGACACGGACCAGACUCCUACGGGAGGCAGCAGUGAGGAAUAUUGGACAAUGGGUGAGAGCCUGAUCCAGCCAUCCCGCGUGAAGGGCGACGGCCCUAUGGGUUGUAAACUUCUUUUGUAUAGGGAUAAACCUAGAUACGUGUAUCUAGCUGAAGGUACUAUACGAAUAAGCACCGGCUAACUCCGUGCCAGCAGCCGCGGUAAUACGGAGGGUGCAAGCGUUAUCCGGAUUUAUUGGGUUUAAAGGGUCCGUAGGCUGAUUUGUAAGUCAGUGGUGAAAUCUCACAGCUUAACUGUGAAACUGCCAUUGAUACUGCAAGUCUUGAGUGUUGUUGAAGUAGCUGGAAUAAGUAGUGUAGCGGUGAAAUGCAUAGAUAUUACUUAGAACACCAAUUGCGAAGGCAGGUUACUAAGCAACAACUGACGCUGAUGGACGAAAGCGUGGGGAGCGAACAGGAUUAGAUACCCUGGUAGUCCACGCCGUAAACGAUGCUAACUCGUUUUUGGGUUUUCGGAUUCAGAGACUAAGCGAAAGUGAUAAGUUAGCCACCUGGGGAGUACGAACGCAAGUUUGAAACUCAAAGGAAUUGACGGGGGCCCGCACAAGCGGUGGAUUAUGUGGUUUAAUUCGAUGAUACGCGAGGAACCUUACCAAGGCUUAAAUGGGAAAUGACAGGUUUAGAAAUAGACUUUUCUUCGGACAUUUUUCAAGGUGCUGCAUGGUUGUCGUCAGCUCGUGCCGUGAGGUGUUAGGUUAAGUCCUGCAACGAGCGCAACCCCUGUCACUAGUUGCCAUCAUUAAGUUGGGGACUCUAGUGAGACUGCCUACGCAAGUAGAGAGGAAGGUGGGGAUGACGUCAAAUCAUCACGGCCCUUACGCCUUGGGCCACACACGUAAUACAAUGGCCGGUACAGAGGGCAGCUACACAGUGAUGUGAUGCAAAUCUCGAAAGCCGGUCUCAGUUCGGAUUGGAGUCUGCAACUCGACUCUAUGAAGCUGGAAUCGCUAGUAAUCGCGCAUCAGCCAUGGCGCGGUGAAUACGUUCCCGGGCCU